UACUAAUUAAACAAACAAUCUAAAACUAAAAUCAGAUGAUCAUGUGUCCAGGAGAAGCAAUUAUGAAAGAUCAGCUAUGAACAUCCAAUUCGACAAAAAAAAAAAACUAAACCAACCUAGACUAAAAAAAAUUACACAUGGUUUAAUUAAAAUGUAUGCCAGGAAAUAAUUAACUAUCACAAGAAGAAUAACAAAAUAAGAAAACCUAAUACACUUCUAAAACAAAGCAAAAAUCAGACAUGCAUAAAAGGGAUAAAAAACAAAAUUAACAAUCAAAAAGACAAAGAAAAGGGUUAACUCGAUUGAGACCAACACUGGACCAAAACAGAGCAUUGUCCAAAAUUUCCUGAAAUGUGAUAUGGAUUUUGGACCAACAUUAAUCGAUUGUUCUUAAAAAGAACAAUCGACUAAUGGAGGUUUUAAAUCCACUCGAAUAAAUGCAGACCAGAAAAAGAAGAAGAGGAACUUUAGGAUUAUUCUGCAUCACCAAAUCCAAAAUUCGAGGCAUUCAAGGUUGAUUAAAAAGGGGUUAAAGGUAGUUUGGGGUGCAGCUAUGGGUAAGCAUCGUUGAGCGUCAAUUUGAGACGAUUUUGAAUGGAUCAAGUUUUGGCCGAGUUUUUUUAUUUAAAAUUCGAAAACGUCCAUUGACGAAUUUUAAGAAAAGGGAGUAGAUAUUUUGAAUGGGGAGAUGAAAGGGAGUCUGUGGUAUCAAAUUUGGGGUGAUUCAACCACCGAAAUAGCAAUGAAGCAAUUUUCGGUGGGCCAUUUGCGGCGGAGGCGGUGAGGGUUUUAUGGACGGCUAGGUUUUGUCUUCAGAGAGUGGAGAGUCAGAGAGUUGGU
rnacentral:lncRNA from 1 species